rnacentral:rRNA from 1 species
GACGAACCGUGCAAACGUUAUUCGGAAUCACUGGGCGUAAAGGGUGCGUAGGCGGGUCUUUAAGUCAGAGGUGAAAUCCUGGAGCUCGACUCCAGAACUGCCUUUGAUACUGAAGAUCUUGAGUUCGGGAGAGGUGAGUGGAACUGCGAGUGUAGAGGUGAAAUUCGUAGAUAUUCGCAAGAACACCAGUGGCGAAGGCGGCUCACUGGCCCGAUACUGACGCUGAGGCACGAAAGCGUGGGGAGCAAACAGG